rnacentral:misc_RNA from 1 species
GAUGAAGAACGCAGUGAAAUGCGAUACGUAAUGUGAAUUGCAGAAUUCAGUGAAUCAUCGAGUCUUUGAACGCACAUUGCGCCCCCUGGUAUUCCAUGGGGCAUGCCUGUUCGAGCGUCAUUUGUACCUUCAAGCUCUGCUUGGUGUUGGGUGUUUGUCUCGCCUCUGCGUGUAGACUCGCCUCAAAACAAUUGGCAGCCGGCGUAUUGAUUUCGGAGCGCAGUACAUCUCGCGCUUUGCACUCAUAACGACGACGUCCAAAAGUACAUUUUUACACUCUUGACCUCGGAUCAGGUAGGGAUACCCGCUGAACUUAAGCAUAUCAAUAAGCGGAGGA